rnacentral:rRNA from 1 species
CCUGGUGACAAUAGCUGUGUGGAACCACCCGAUCCCAUCCCGAACUCGGAAGUGAAACGCACACGCGCCGAUGGUAGUGUGGCCCAAGCCAUGCAAGAGUAGGUCAUCGCCAGGG